GGCAACCCUAACCAGCCAAGUCGCGUGAAGGAUGAAGGUCUUAUGGACUUGUAAACUUCUUUUAUACAGGAAUAAAUUGGGGGACGUGUCCCCUUUUGCAUGUACUGUAUGAAUAAGGAUCGGCUAACUCCGUGCCAGCAGCCGCGGUAAUACGGAGGAUCCGAGCGUUAUCCGGAUUUAUUGGGUUUAAAGGGUGCGCAGGCGGGAUGUUAAGUCGGCGGUGAAAUUUUGCAGCUCAACUGUAAAAGUGCCUUCAUACUGGCCUCCUUGAGUGUGGAUGAAGUAAGGCGGAAUUUGUGGUGUAGCGGUGAAAUGCUUAGAUAUCACGAGGAACUCCGAUUGCGCAGGCAGCUUACUAAGCCACAACUGACGCUCAUGCACGAAGGCGUGGGGAUCAAACAGGAUUAGAUACCCUGGUAGUCCACGCAGUAAACGAUGAUUACUGGUUGUUUGCGAUACAAUGCAAGCGACUGACGAAAGCGUUAAGUAAUCCACCUGGGGAGUACGUUCGCAGAAUGAAACUCAAAGGAAUUGACGGGGGCCCGCACAAGCGGAGAACAUGUGGUUUAAUUCGAUGAUACGCGAGGAACCUUAC
rnacentral:rRNA from 1 species